AGUGAACGCUGGCGGUAGGCCUAACACAUGCAAGUCGAACGGCAGCACAGUAAGAUCUUGCUCUUACGGGUGGCGAGUGGCGGACGGGUGAGGAAUACAUCGGAAUCUACUUUUUCGUGGGGGAUAACGGAGGGAAACUUACGCUAAUACCGCAUAUGACCUACGGGUGAAAGCAGGGGAUCUUCGGACCUUGCGCGAUUGAAUUAGCCGAUGUCGGAUUAGCUAGUUGGCUAGGUAAGGGCCCACCAAGGCGACGAUCCGUAGCUGGUCUGAGAGGAUGAUCAGCCACACUGGAACUGAGACACGGUCCAGACUCCUACGGGAGGCAGCAGUGGGGAAUAUUGGACAAUGGGCGAAAGCCUGAUCCAGCCAUACCGCGUGGGUGAAGAAGGCCUUCGGGUUGUAAAGCCCUUUUGUUGGGAAAGAAAAGAAGCAGGUUAAUACCCCGCUGUUCUGACGGUACCCAAAGAAUAAGCACCGGCUAACUUCGUG
rnacentral:rRNA from 1 species